UAUUUAGAAUGUCCACUUGCACCUCAAUGUCACAAAUGAGUGUUUGAGGCAGUUUUGAUUGAGAUAUAAUGCAAAAUGUACACCAAAUGGGCUUUUGAAUAUCAAAUUCCAGUGUCCACAAAAUCCAUAAUCUGGAUCAGAUCUGGAUCAAACUUGUCAGGUGAUAGUGAGU